AUGGCCGACGCGGGUGAAAGUGUAGUAUCUGUUCUCAUCAGCUUAAUAUCUGAUACGGGUUCUGUUUGGACACAAUAUAUUAAAUUUAUUUUUGCAAGUUGGCGGAGUGCUUGAAGCCUUGGUUCGUUGUCACCUCCGCUGCGGGUCGGCCGGGUAUUGCACCGUCUCCGGGAUCUCCGGUAUCU